ACUUUUCAUAUAAAUACACCUAAUUUGCAGUUAAUUAUGAAUAAACAAUAAAAGAAUUAUUAGUUUCUGUUAGAUGUGACUCAAAAUUGAUAAUCAACUUCAAUUCGGGAUUUCGACUCGCCGACAGCUUCGCAGUGCGACUAAAUUGAAAAAUAAGUUGCGGAAGAAAAAUGAAUGUCUGUGGUCGGUAGCAGAGAGCUCGGGCCUGGUCAGUAGCGGAGAGCUCGGGCCUAUUAAGAUUUUUUUUUGUCGUUUUUGCUCUAGAGGCGAUAGAUUGAAGUUGGUUGUACUCUCUGAACUGUAUUUUCCCUUUUUCGAUAGUGAAGUUCUCUCCUCUCUCGCCCGUGAUUUUUCUUUUGUAAAAAUUUUUUUACGUAAAUCUAUGUAUUCUCUUUUAUUUCUGCUUGUGGUUUGAUUAUUUCAUGUUCGUCAUUUUCGUUUUCGUUUGUGCGUUUGUCAUAACAAUUUCCCACAGGAGUACGUGUUAAAGUUUUUAAUAUGGUGUUAUUUCUGUAAUUAUAAGAAUAGACAAAGAUAAAAGUUUAAAAUUUUGAGGAAUCUUUAUGUAAUAGAUAAUUUUAUGAUGG
rnacentral:lncRNA from 1 species